GGAACCCCAAACAUAGCCAGGCACAUGAGAGUACACUUGUGCGUGCACAUGCACACAUAGCACCCCCCAUGUGCACACCCUGGGGGGCAUCUCCCUGCCCUGUUACCUGGCUUUCCUGGAUCUCCAGAAAGUCCCGGAGGGCCUCGGGCUCCAGGCAUACCUGUCAGGCCCUGUUCACCUGGGAAGAGCAUUAGCCAUUGAGGGUGUUUCCCUGAGGAGGGUCACGUGCCCGCACCUCCAGGCUCAUGGCUUCCCCAGGUUUGCUAACUGACUUGCUGGCAGGUGAGGAGGAGGAGGAGGAGGAGGAGGAAGGAGAGGACAGCAAGAACCAGACCACCCAUUUCCCCAGGCUCCGUGCCACUCUGGCAUCGUGGUGGGGACUGGAGCGAAGCCAGGGACAUGGGCAGGGCAGGGAGUGGUGGCAGGGGCAGGUAGUAAGAGUGAAGACAAACCUCUUAGACCUUGCUGUCCGUCAGGGCCAGCGGGGCCUGGUAAAGGAGAAAAGUGAAGCCCGUCUGUUAUUCUGGGGCCAUUUCUGUGACCCUCCCCCUGUGCUGCCCCAGGAGCCUCAGAGCACACAGUGUCCCAGGCAGGAGCCCUCGCAGCUCUUCCUGUGGCCAUCAGCUGGAGAGAAGCCCUGCCUUGGUCGCACCCUGGCUAUGGCCUUCUCUCUCCCCCUUCCCCUAGGCCAGCAGUUGUCUCCUUUCUGCUGAAUGUCACGGCCAAGGGCCUGGAUGCUCCUAAGUGUUCGCUUCACGUACUUAGGUCCUGGAAGUCAAAGUUCCCCCAUGUUCCUCUCUUCUCCUUCUCUAGGUGCCCUCCUGGUCUCUGUCCAAAAUGGUGUCCUUCUGGGACUGUGUCUUGCUCUUCCUGUCUUUACUCGCAUUGUCCUUGCUGCAUGGGGAGUUUUCCAAUCGGGGUCCUGCAGGCCCUUUGUCACCUGAGAAGGAAACAGACAUGUUGGUGUGAAAGCCCUGCGGCGUACUGCGAGGUGGGUCAGCUUCUGUCUCCAAAGACAGCGCCCCCUUGCCCUCACUUCCCCCGCUGGCACUUGAUGCACAGGCUGUGGGCUGUGUCUGUCAGCCACUCUGGCUCCCCGGCCUCCUCCUGGGAUGCGGAGCAUCCACAGGGCGACCUGGCAACCUGCUCUUCCUCCCAGGCCCUCCCCAGCUCACCUUUAACUCCAGGAAGUCCCACUUCACCUCGGAUCCCUUGGACGCCCAUAGAGCCUGCUCACCGGAGGAAAGCAAACAGAAACAGCAUCUAUUUUCAAGAAGCAGCACACUGACCUGGGGGUCCUUGGGGGCCAGGAGAGCCAUUGGAACCUGGGGAGGAGGAAGAGAUGAUCAGCAGAGGGUCCGGUACUGGCGGGGUCAUGGGACCCCAGGGUGAUGGGCAGGUGGGGGUGGAGGACUCACUUCCAGGUGAGGACUGUGUGGGUGUACAUUGUUCCCAGAGUGUUCUUGACAGGACCCUGUGUCAGAGGGUCCAGCAGUGACCCCAGUACAAUGUCUUCCUUAAGUCUGAGGCUGUGGGACUCUGGGCUAGGACAUGGGUGAGGAGGGGAGGUGGCCAGAUGGGCAUCAAUAUGAGAAAGGGCCCAUUCUCUCGGCUGUCCCAACACGCUGAUUUUGAUGUGUGCACUGUGGGCCCCAGCAGCAGGGAAGACUGAUUCUGAUUUCCCUUCUGAUUCACCCACCCACCCAGGGAUCGCACUGUGAGGCCACUGAAGAGGGGAGGAGACGGGGCCAAAGUUCCAGUCCCCAGCUUGACCCCCAGCAGACCCAUAGCCAGACACAAUCCGGGACCCCUCUUUUCUGGUCUGUCCUGGAUGUGUCCUUCCCUGGCAAGCUGUACCCUGCCCUGAGCCCUGGACAUACCUUUGGGACCCACAGAACCUGGGACACCAGGAGGACCCUGCAGUCCUGGUUCGCCAGCAGCUCCUGUGGCAGGAAGGAGCACGGUGAGAAAGCCCCCCAUCUGGCUGUCCCUCGGCCAGGGGGUCAUAUGAAGGGGACACUUCCUGCUCCUCCAUGGUUGCGGAUCCUCUUGGGACCGCAGAGAAGCCACUAAUUAACAAAAUUCCACACUUUCUACUCCCAGAUCCUUAAUCUCCCAUGAGGUCUAGAACUUAUGAGGCACUCAAUAAAUCCUGGCUGCCUGGAGGAGCCACAUUUUUAAGGGAAAAGUAAAACUAACAACAAAGCUUCCUGCUCAGCCUUUCAGCAUUAGAAGAUUUUGGGAGCCCACCUUGGUUUCCUGAUUAGAAAACGGCUCCAUGGUUAAGGAUCUCAUUGCAAAUGUUCCCAGCCCCCUCCAGCACUGGUCUGCACCUGGGGCUCUCCUGUGUCCCUCACUGUGGUGUCCUGCACCCCAGCCCACUUUGCAACAGCUCCUGCUCCCUGCGUUGGCUAUGCGCAGAUCACCACCCCCGUCUAGGAAGGACAUUUCACCGGGACCUCCUUGAGUUACAAGCACUGCAGAGCCCGUCAUUGGUCCACUGGCCCCACAGGGCCUAGCACAGAGCCCACCUUGAGGAAAGCACUCAACAAACAGCACUGGAGGAAGGUUGGAGGGAGCCAGGUGGAAGAGGCCAGGAUGGGGCUGGGGAUGUAGCUCAGUGGUACAGCGCUUGCCUGGCAUGUUUGAGGCCCUCAGGUUGAUCCCCUGCACCACCGAUUUUAUGCACACAUACACAUAUUCUAUAAAAUGUGGAAGGAAGGACCAACACAGCGAGCCCUCCUGGCGAAGGACUCGCCUCUUACCUCUGUCCCCUUUCUCCCCAAAUCCAGGAGGCCCUGGUUCUCCGCGAGGUCCCAUGGGGCCUUCUCGCCCUCUCUGGCCCAUGGGUCCUUCCAUGCCGGGAUCUCCUAAAGACAGUCACGGCCAGCCUCACAGUUAGGGUCCAAGCCACAGCCUAGGGCUCCCCAGCUACGCCUCCCCGGCAGAAUGCUGGCCUGGGGCCUCUUCCCUGACCACCAGCUCCUCAUCCCGGCCCUGCAGACUUUGCUUAGCCCAGAGUACAGAGCGACUCUGAGAACACUACACUUCUGCUCCUAACUCGCUGGUGCCUUCUCUGCUCACUGUGGGCAGAGGUUGACAUCCUCACGCUGGCUGCUGGCCUUGGGGCCACCCCUUCAGCUCCCUCCGCAUCGUGCUCCUCCUGGGCUUGGCCUUGCGGCCUCUGCCUUGGCGCCCUUUCGUCUGUAGCACGUGGCUGCUGUCUUCAUCUCUGCUCCCCGCCCUCCCCUCUGAACGACGCUGACUCCCGCUGUCCCGCCAGGCCCUGUCUUUCUCAGGUCACACGUGACUCCCUGGCCUGCUAAGACUUCUCUUGUUUCCCAUGAUUGCUGUCUCCCCCAGGGGUGGCAGGGUUGUCUCCUAGAACAGGGCCUGUUUACCACAGCCCUGUAAUAAAUGUUUCCUGCGUGCACGGCGAGGGGGAAAUGAGUGGAAAAUCCGGCUCUUACCCACACUGCCUUUUUGUCCCUUUGGUCCUUCUGGACCAGUGUGGCCCAAGGGCCCAGGGCUACCUGUGGACAAACGAGAGGACCUCAGCCCCGACUCCUCUGGAAACAGCAGCCAGGACAGAGCUGCCAAGGGCCAGCAGCCCAGAAGUCACCGGGGUUACACACCUGGAGUCCCAGGAAGGCCUCGGUCUCCUGCAGGGACAAAGGUAGAGACCUGUUAGCCAGGGGACCUAGCCCAGGUCCCUGAAGGAGCCGCUGGUGGGAAUCGGGUUAGGGAUGCCAAGCGAGCGAUGAAAAUACAAUGAGCGCAUGUUUUUAGUAUAACUAUGUCCCAUAACUAUGUGAGACACUGUCGUGAAGAAUGAGAAACACAGCUGCACACACAUCACAGGAGGCUGCGAGUGCUGUAUUUUACCUGACAGCAGCGGGCUCAGGGGCCUAGAACCAUCGGUUCUGAGGUCUGGGCUGCAGGAGGGGAAUGAGGCGCUCUGGAGGGUCCGGGGGUAGGGAACCCAGUUCCUGUGCUUGGGUCUCUGGGAGAGCACGGCGAGCUGGGGACAGAGGGCGACCCUGACAGGGGAGGUGGCUGUCCGUGUGGAUGUGCAUGCCGGCUACAAUCACCUGGGGUGCUCAGACCCGAGGUUCCUGACUGCAUUGACAUCCACUGAGCCAGGGCCCCGGAGGUGGCCCGUCCUCUGGCAGUUUCUAUGUGCACCAGGCUUUGCCAAGCCCAGCCAGAUGGGACAAGAAGAUCCACGCUGUGUCCAGUGGGGCCAGGGGGCUGGCACCUCCUCCUCCUGAUCUGACGGGAGGUGGGCUGGGGCCGUGAGCGUGGUGUGGGGGGUGGGGCGCGGCUGUAGGUACAGACGGGGCUUCGCCCGUGGUUCCUAACGGGACCCUGGCCAGGUCUGUCUGCAGCCCUGGGGUUGAGGGCCCCUGCUUUAAACCAUGCUCAACCUUUCUCAGAUGGGAAGGGAUGGAGAGGUGAGGGAUGGCAGGAGAAGGAGAUAGAAAAGGGCCGAGAUGGGCCAUGCACUGCACCAACUGUACAUC